rnacentral:rRNA from 1 species
GAUGAACGCUAGCGGCAGGCCUAAUACAUGCAAGUCGAGGGGCAGCGCGGUAGCAAUACUGGCGGCGACCGGCGCACGGGUGCGUAACACGUAUGCAACCUACCUUCAACUGGAGGAUAGCCCGGGGAAACUCGGAUUAAUACUCCAUAACACAGGGAUCCCGCAUGGGAAUAUUGUUAAAGCUACGGCGGUUGAAGAUGGGCAUGCGUUCGAUUAGCUAGUUGGUGUAGGUAACGGCUCACCAAGGCUACGAUCGAUAGGGGGUCUGAGAGGAUGAUCCCCCACACUGGUACUGAGAUACGGACCGGACUCCUACGGGAGGCAGCAG